AGGCCACAUCGAACAACGCAGGAAAAAUCUUAGUAGAUCGUAGGACAAGCCUACUCUCAUACUUACAAUACCCGGUUGCAACAAAGUCGUCUGCAAUGGAUGUAUCACCUCCAAUGUUAGAAAUUGAGAUUCUCGCCCAAAAGCAUGAAGCGGAGGGCUUUGAUGAGAAGCAGGGCCAGAGGCCUGUAUCAUUGCAUGAAACAAAGGAGGCGGUGAAUUACACUGCAUAUCCAGCAUGGAUUCUGACUUA
rnacentral:rRNA from 1 species